rnacentral:lncRNA from 1 species
AAAAAAGAAAAUUUCUUCAAACAUUUUUUUGAGAGGAUUAAUAUUCAGCAGCAUAGUGAAUUGCUCUAAGAGAAAACAAAAAUUUUAAGUUCAUUAGAACACAUUCAUUCUGUGUCAGAAACCUAUGCUGUGUCAACUAUUUAAUCACAAUCCAAAUUUAGAGCUGAAUCCAGCUUGAAUGUUGUGUCCAUACUUGCCCCAACCGUUCAGGGUUCAACCUCUGCGGUCGUAUAAAGCUACGCCCUGCGGAGCA